UGUUGCCGCUGGGCACACUGCUCAAAGCCAUCCGUUAACUGUGUGACAACUACUAAGCGAGAUUAUUUUUGUCAAGUGAAGAGAUAGAUGUGUCAUGCGAAAAUGGACAGAAAUAAUUGUGAGAAGAAGAAAUCAAUGGCCUUAAAAUGUGCUUUAAUUAGAUAAAUCUAUAGAGUGUUGAAUUGGCUAUCCUACAUGAGUUCCAUAUUAAAAGUACUUUCCCUAUGUGCGAAUUGUAAAUGCUAAAUGUUUGGUUAUAUGAAUUCGUCUACUUUGUUGCGCAGAAGGCAAAUCUUUAUGAAAUAGAACACCGAUAGUUUAAAAGCUGCAUCCAACGCAUUCAUUGUGUAAGUGCUGCUAUGAACCCGGUGGCCACUAUUUCCCCUCUCUGCCACCGCAACAA